CACGUAGGGUGCAAGCGUUGUCCGGAAUCAUUGGGCGUAAAGAGCUCGUAGGCGGCUUAGUAAGUCGGGUGUGAAAACCCCAGGCUCAACCUGGGGACGCCACCCGAUACUGCUAUAGCUAGAGUCCAGUAGGGGAGUGUGGAAUUCCCAGUGUAGCGGUGAAAUGCGCAGAUAUUGGGAGGAACACCAGCGGCGAAGGCGGCACUCUGGGCUGGCACUGACGCUGAGGAGCGAAAGCGUGGGUAGCGAACAGG
rnacentral:rRNA from 1 species